rnacentral:rRNA from 1 species
AGAUUGAACGCUGGCGGCAUGCCUAACACAUGCAAGUCGAACGGGAGUAGCAAUACUCUAGUGGCGGACGGGUGAGGAAUACGUAGGAAUUUGCCCUUAAGUGGGGGAUAACCCGGGGAAACCCGGAUUAAUACCGCAUGACCUCGAAAGAGCAAAGUGGGGGAUCGCAAGACCUCACGCUUUUGGAGAAGCCUACGUCGGAUUAGCUAGUUGGUGAGGUAAUGGCUCACCAAGGCGACGAUCCGUAACUGGUCUGAGAGGAUGAUCAGUCACACCGGAACUGAGACACGGUCCGGACUCCUACGGGAGGCAGCAGUGGGGAAUAUUGGACAAUGGGCUCAAGCCUGAUCCAGCAAUGCCGCGUGUGUGAAGAAGGCCUUCGGGUUGUAAAGCACUUUAAGUUGGGUAAGAAAAACUACGACUACUAACACAGUGAGUCUUGACGGUACCGACAGAAUAAGCACCGCUAACUCUGUCGCCACGACGACCGACCGUACGUACUCGUAGGACGGCCGGUCGUCGAA